AGUGAAUUGCCUGAUUAAAAGGAUUACCUUGAUAGGGUAAAUUAUGAAAAUAAAUUUUCAUUUACUA
rnacentral:tRNA from 1 species